rnacentral:rRNA from 1 species
AGAGUUUGAUCCUGGCUCAGAUUGAACGCUGGCGGCAUGCCUUACACAUGCAAGUCGAACGGUAACGCGGGGCAACCUGGCGACGAGUGGCGAACGGGUGAGUAACACAUCGGAACGUGCCCAGUAGUGGGGGAUAGCCCGGCGAAAGCCGGAUUAAUACCGCAUACGACCUACGGGUGAAAGGGGGGGAUCGCAAGACCUCUCGCUAUUGGAGCGGCCGAUGUCAGAUUAGGUUGUUGGUGGGGUAAAAGCCUACCAAGCCGACGAUCUGUAGCUGGUCUGAGAGGACGACCAGCCACACUGGGACUGAGACACGGCCCAGACUCCUACGGGAGGCAGCAGUGGGAAAUUUUGGACAAUGGGCGCAAGCCUGAUCCAGCCAUGCCGCGUGCGGGAAGAAGGCCUUCGGGUUGUAAACCGCUUUUGUCAGGGAAGAAACGGCUUGAAUUAAUACUUCGAGCUAAUGACGGUACCUGAAGAAUAAGCACCGGCUAACUACGUGCCAGCAGCCGCGGUAAUACGUAGGGUGCAAGCGUUAAUCGGAAUUACUGGGCGUAAAGCGUGCGCAGGCGGUCGUACAAGACAGAUGUGAAAUCCCCGGGCUUAACCUGGGAACUGCAUUUGUGACUGUACGGCUGGAGUGCGGCAGAGGGGGAUGGAAUUCCGCGUGUAGCAGUGAAAUGCGUAGAUAUGCGGAGGAACACCGAUGGCGAAGGCAAUCCCCUGGGCCUGCACUGACGCUCAUGCACGAAAGCGUGGGGAGCAAACAGGAUUAGAUACCCUGGUAGUCCACGCCCUAAACUAUGUCAACUGGUUGUUGGGAAGGUUCCUUCUCAGUAACGAAGCUAACGCGUGAAGUUGGCCGCCUGGGGAGUACGGCCGCAAGGUUGAAAACUCAAAGGAAUUGACGGGGACCCGCACAAGCGGUGGAUGAUGUGGUUUAAUUCGAUGCAACGCGAAAAACCUUACCUACCCUUGACAUGUCAAGAAUCUUGCAGAGAUGUGAGAGUGCUCGAAAGAGAACUUGAACACAGGUGCUGCAUGGCCGUCGUCAGCUCGUGUCGUGAGAUGUUGGGUUAAGUCCCGCAACGAGCGCAACCCUUGUCAUUAGUUGCUACGAAAGGGCACUCUAAUGAGACCGCCGGUGACAAACCGGAGGAAGGUGGGGAUGACGUCAGGUCCUCAUGGCCCUUAUGGGUAGGGCUACACACGUCAUACAAUGGCCGGUACAGAGGGUUGCCAACCCGCGAGGGGGAGCCAAUCCCAGAAAACCGGUCGUAGUCCGGAUCGCAGUCUGCAACUCGACUGCGUGAAGUCGGAAUCGCUAGUAAUCGCGGAUCAGCUUGCCGCGGUGAAUACGUUCCCGGGUCUUGUACACACCGCCCGUCACACCAUGGGAGCGGGUUCUGCCAGAAGUAGUUAGCCUAACCGCAAGGAGGGCGAUUACCACGGCAGGGUUCGUGACUGGGGUGAAGUCGUAACAAGGUA